UACGGAGGGAGCUAGCGUUGUUCGGAUUUACUGGGCGUAAAGGGCGCGUAGGCGGCAAUUCAAGUCAGUUGUGAAAUCUCCGAGCUUAACUCGGAACGGUCAACUGAUACUGUUUUGCUAGAGUACAGAAGGGGCAAUCGGAAUUCUUGGUGUAGCGGUGAAAUGCGUAGAUAUCAAGAGGAACACCUGAGGUGAAGACGGGUUGCUGGGCUGAUACUGACGCUGAGGCGCGAAAGCUAGGGUAGCAAACGGG
rnacentral:rRNA from 1 species